UUGGAGGGCAAGUCUGGUGCCAGCAGCCGCGGUAAUUCCAGCUCCAAUAGCGUAUAUUAAAGUUGUUGCAGUUAAAAAGCUCGUAGUUGAAUUUCGGGGUCAGUAGAUUGGUCGUGCCACUGGUAUGUACUGGUCUUACUGGCUCCUCCUUCCUGAUGAACCGUAAUGCCAUUAAUUUGGUGUUGCGGGGAGACUGGACUGUUACUUUGAAAAAAUUAGAGUGUUUAAAGCAGGCUAACGCUUGAAUACAUUAGCAUGGAAUAAUGAAAUAGGACGUUCGAUCUUAUUUUGUUGGUUUCUAAGAUUGACGUAAUGAUUAAUAGGGAUAGUUGGGGGCAUUAGUAUUCAAUUGUCAGAGGUGAAAUUCUUGGAUUUAUUGAAGACUAACUACUGCGAAAGCAUUUGCCUAGGAUGUUUUCAUUAAUCAAGAACGAAAGUUAGGGGAUCGAAGACGAUCAGAUACCGUCGUAGUCUUAACCAUAAACUAUGCCGACUAGGGAUCGGAUGAUGUUAAUUUUUUAAUGACUCAUUCGGCGCCUUACGGGAAA
rnacentral:rRNA from 1 species